rnacentral:rRNA from 1 species
ACCCAGGAAAUAGUGUUAUAUUUUUAUGCAAUUGUGUUGAUAGGGAAAGGUUAAUCUUUAAGUGCUCUAGUUUUGCUAUCUAGUUUUGCUAUUUUUAUAUUUUAACUUAAAUCAAUUAAUUUUGGAAAAAAUUAACCAAAGAAAGUGAUAGUCUUGUAGAUUGGGCUUUAAAAAAGCUUUAAAUAUAACAAUAAAACAAAAAGAACUCUUUAUCCCUAAGUAGCAUGGAGUAUGUGAAAUUCCGUGUGAAUCUGCGAGGACCACCUCGUAAGACUAAAUAUUCAUAAAUGUCCGAUAGUGAAAAGUACCGUGAGGGAAAGGGUGAAAAGUACUCCGGAAAGGAGAGUGAAAAGAUCGUGAAAUUAUAAGCUUACAAACAGAAGAAGAACGACUUAUCGUUUAACUUCGUGCCUGUUGAAGAAUGUUCCGACGAGUUAUGACUUGUGGCAAGGUUAAAAUAUAUCAAAAAUAUUGGAGCCAUAGUGAAAGCGAGCUUGAAUAGGGCGAAAAAGUCACAAGUUAUAGACCCGAACCCGCUUGAUCUAACCAUGUCCAGGAUGAAGCUUAGGUAAUACUAUGUUGGAGGUCCGAACCGACUAAUGUUGAAAAAUUAGCGGAUGAGGUGUGGUUAGGGGUGAAAUGCCAAUCGAAAGCGGAGCUAGCUGGUUCUCCUCGAAAUGUAUUUAGGUGCAGCGAUUAUUGUUUAAAUGUAGGGGUAAAGCACUGUUUUGAUGCUGGCUGGUAACUCGGUACUAAGUCAAGGCAAACUCAGAAUACUACAUAAUAUAAAUAGUCAGUAAGACUGUGAGGGAUAAGCUUCAUAGUCAAAAGGGAAACAGCCCAGAUUACCAGUUAAGGCCCCAAAAUAGUUAUUAAGUGACUAAGGAAGUGAAAAGGCAUGAAUACCCAGGAGGUUCGCUUAGAAGCAGCAAUCCUUUAAAAAGUGCGUAAUAGCUUACUGGCUUAGCCGUUUUGCGCCGAAAAUUUACGGGACUUAAGUAACUUGCCGAAACUGUGAGAUAUUUUAAUCGAAAAUAUCGGUAGAGGAGCGUUUCAUUGUAGAUAGAAGUAUUAGUGAAAACGAAUAUGGACGAAAUGAAAGUGAAAAUGUCGGAUUGAGUAGCGAAAACAUUGGUGAGAAUCCAAUGCCCCGAAACCCUAAGGAUUCCUUCGGAAGGUUCGUCCACGAAGGGUAAGUCAGACCCUAAGAAGAGGCGAAUAAGCGUAUUCGAUGGAUAAUAGGUUAAUAUUCCUAUACUGAUAUUUGCAGUUAUAUCCUUGAUAUUGAGGGACGGAGAAGGUUACGUUAACUAGGAAUUUUUGGAAUACUUAGUAAAAAAUUAAGGUGUUGAAAAAUAGUAAAAAUAUUUUAAGCCAAAAUUUACAUUAUUUACUUUUUUUUAAAAGAUCCGAUAUUUUUUUUUAAAAAAGUGAACAAUUAACAAAAUCAAACUUCCAGGAAAAGCUCGAAUGAAGGGCUGCAAAAUCAUCUGUACCAGAAACCGACACAGGUAGGGAAGUAGAGAAUACUAAGGGGCGCGAGAGAACCCUCCUUAAGGAACUCGGCAAAAUAACUCCGUAACUUCGGAAGAAGGAGUGCCUAAUAAUUAAAAAAUUAGGCUACAAUAUCAAGUUCCAAGCAACUGUUUAACAAAAACACAGGUCUCCGCUAAGUUGAAAAACGAUGUAUGGGGGCUGACGCCUGCCCAGUGCCGAAAAGUUAAUGGAAGUAGUUAGAUAUAUGUCAAUAUAUAUCAAAGCUAAUGACUGAAGCUUCGGUGAACGGCGGCCGUAACUAUAACGGUCCUAAGGUAGCGAAAUUCCUUGUCGGGUAAGUUCCGACCCGCACGAAUGGCGUAACGAUGGCCACACUGUCUCCUCCUGAGACUCAGCGAAGUUGAAAUGUUUGUGAAGAUGCAAUC